CAGUUACAGAACAGUCUGGCGCAAGGUAUGUUCCUGGCGGGGGGGCGGGGGGCGUACGGCGCCGCGCUGCAGGGCCCGCUGGCGUAUCUGGAGAAAACUGCCACCAACAUAGACAUGGUGGGUCUGGGCGACGGGCGCAGGUGACGCGGCCGCGGCAGGGGCAGGGGCCGCGGCCGCGGGCGUGGACGAGGGCGCGGCGCAUCCCCUGAGUACGGCGGCAGCAUGACGCCCCCCUAGCCGGACGCGCCGCCCCCCUGGGCCCCCGCCGCCGCCGGAUACCCGUACGACCAGUACCCGGACACCCUGUAGAUACCCUGUCUGUGCAGUGACACUGUAGAGGGUGUUGC